rnacentral:ncRNA from 1 species
GCCGUUAGGGGUGUUACGUUUCACGUGACUGAGAGUAAACCCUUUAACCUGAUCUGGAUAAUACCAGCGUAGGGAAACGU